UACGUAGGGGGCGAGCGUUGUCCGGAUUUAUUGGGCGUAAAGAGCUCGUAGGCGGUCUGUCGCGUCGGAUGUGAAAACCCAGGGCUCAACCCUGGGCCUGCAUUCGAUACGGGCAGACUAGAGUUCGGUAGGGGAGACUGGAAUUCCUGGUGUAGCGGUGAAAUGCGCAGAUAUCAGGAGGAACACCGGUGGCGAAGGCGGGUCUCUGGGCCGAAACUGACGCUGAGGAGCGAAAGCGUGGGGAGCAAACAGG
rnacentral:rRNA from 1 species